UGAUCGUUAUAAUAUCAUUAUAAUGGGUUCAAGAAAUAAAUAUUUUUAUAAACCUCUUCAUUGUGUGUAGAUGGGACUGUGUUGCUCAUCUCCUCCAGGGUGUUGUUUGGGUCGAUGUUCUUUUUUAUUGCAGUGUCAUUUUCUUUUUUAGGUCUUUUAACCUUCUUUGAUGACAUCUCAAUUUUGCUUGACAUUUUUUGGAGCACGCACAGAGGUGGGAACUGAAUAAUACUUUGAUUGUAUUGGUGGCACAACUUUGUCUCCCCUCUUUGCCCGUGUCUCUUCAGACAGACUGUCAUUUCUGCUGACUGGGACAAGCAAGUCCUCCGAUAACUCUUUGGCCAAGAUGUGCUCCCUGUACCUUCCUUGGAGCGAGCUGUACAUCAUUCUGAUGAAUUUGGUCGGUCUGAUUCUUUUUUGUUUUUUCAGAAUUAUGUUUUUUGUGAUACCAAACUACCUUUCCACAUGGCAGUUUGUGUCACGGGUCUGAUUUGUAGUCUGUGGUCGGUGGUUUUGUGGAGUAGCCAGUAGCACCCCACUCCACAGAGGGAAGAUUCCAAGACGGUCAGUCAGAGGUCGGAGGAGUAGGGCGUUCACUCGCGGAUUCUUUCACUCAUCAGACACCGCAGCUGAUAGGAGAUACAAAGACAAUGAGCACAAUGUGCCUUCCACCUGCCGCUUCAACGCCUCCUCCAACGUUUGCUCUCAUUAUCAUCGUUAAGGAAAUCGUCAGGAAGGACAUCACAAAUGAAGCGUUGGUGUCUGAAAUCGUGAGACUCCUUAAUCUACAAGGACCUGGUGGUAACAGACGUCGUGGACGGACCUGACUGAAGUUCAACCACAGACAUGGCAAUUCCUGACGUUGAAUGGGAAGACAGUGGACUUCCUCCAGAUGAACACUGGAGCAUUGUUCUACCACAAGCUGAAAGCCCACUCAGUGGUGAACAAAGGACCAACUUGACCGAGGCCAUAAACCCCAGGGCAACAUCCCAGUCAUCUGGAUGUGGUCUUUACAUUGCUGCUGUUCAGUUUUGUGAGCACAUUGGUAUCUGUCUUGUGACACGUCCGAUUACCUGGAGAUGUACACAAAGAGACAAGAUGAUUUUCUGGUGACCGUUCACUUGCGGACUUAAUAGGGGUCCCUACUGGAAACACCACCGCCUUGCCCAAGAGAAACGUGUUGAAUUGAAAAGGUUCUGGGAGACGGACGAAACGUUGCUAAACUGGCCGGUGCGUCGCUAAACCACAUUUUAAACCAAACUACAUGUGCCUCUGUUAAUUAUCUGACAAAUUUUCAAAGUAGCAAUUGAAACGUCAAGCAAGCGCUAUCAGCUAGCGUCUGUUAUUGAUAUUUCCAGUAGAAGCACUAGACAAACACCACAAAAUAGAAAUAAAAACUUUGUGAACUGACCGACGCUGCAUCGCCCUGGUCGCUUGCCAUUGCCAAGUAUCGUUUUCGUGAUGAACUCAGUCAAUCUUAAGUCUGUGAGGAAAGUUGUCCGUUCCCAGGAUCUGCAGCAGUAGAUCAGUAACAAACAUCGCCGGGAGGCUUUUUUCUGCCUUUCCGGAAUUCCCAUUAUUUUUAUGUUCUGCCUCUGUUGUCUGGCCAGUCGGUUCCACAAACCCGGAAGAACCACAGAGGUGGUGGGAUGCAAGACUUUAUUGUAUAGUUUAUUCCAGAUCAACAUCAGCAUCUCGUUGUCCACGGUCAGCAUCAAUGGUCAGCAUUGUAGUGCGCUUGCCAGCAGAGGGUGCUAUUUCUUCACUCACACACCACUUCACCCUCCUUGCACUUACUGAGGAGUAAAUUUAACGCAUAAUUCAUCAUCACAUCAAUCCAUCAGCCACCUGUUGUUGGCUGUUUUUCAGUCUGCUAGUUUGUGCGCGGUGACUCCGGAACGUUCGCCCCGUUGGCAGCAGGGUGAAGAGGCUGUGUGACGGGUGGGUGUGGUCUCCUGCGAUCCAGGAGGGAUGGAAGAGGGACCCGGAUGAUCUUCUCAGCAGUCCUCACCACAUGCUGCAUGGCCAUGCGGCAGGCGAUGGUCCAUGAAACGAACCACACUGUGAUGCAGCUGGUUAGAACACUUUCGAUCGUACCUCUGUAGAAGGUGCACAUGAUGGGGGACGGAACUCCGGCUCUCUUCAGCUUCCGUUGGAAGUACAGGCGCUGCUGGGCUUUCUUGGCCAAUGCUGUGGUUUUGGUGUUCCAGGUCAGGUCCUGGGAGAUGAGAACACCCAGGAACUUGGUGCCAGUUACCUGCCCCACAGCGCCACCAGCGAUGAGAAGCAGAGGCUGCAGGACGAAUCGUCUCCUGAAGUCCACCACGAUCAGGUGCACAAUCAUACAUUAGCAGAGUGAAUAGGAGAGGACUCAAAACGCAUCCCUGAGGAGCUCCAGGGUUCAUCGUGAUGGACCUGGAGGUAUUCCCACCAACCCGAACCACCUGUGGUCGGCCCGUGAGGAAGUCCAGCAGCCAGUUGCAGAGGGACGGGUCAAGUCCCAAUUGGACCAGCUUGAGGAUGAGCUGCUGUGGGAUGAUUGUGUUGAAUGCUGAGCUGAGGUCUAUGAACAGCAUUCGGGCGCAAGAGAACUCAGAAAGGGCAGAGCGGACCCGGCCACUCUCCACAUCCACAGUGACUGUGUGGAGAGGGUCCACUACAUAAGGUUCCUGGGCGUGCAGGUCUCUGAUGAUCUCUCCUGGUCUGCAAACACCACAGUGGUGGUUAAGAAGGCUCAGCAACGUCUCCACUUCCUCAGGUUGCUCAGGAGAAACAACCUGGAGGAGAGGGUGCUGGUCACCUUCUACAGAGCCGCCAUAGAGAGCGUCCUAACGUACUGCAUCACAGCAUGGUACGCAGGGUGCUCAGCUGCAGACAGGAAAGCUCUGCAGAGAGUCAUCAACACAGCCCAGAAGAUCACUGGCUGCUCUCUGCUCAGCCUGGAGGACAUCACCUACUCCCGCUACCUUAGCAGAGCCGGCAACAUCAUCAAGGACUCGUCCCACCCCAGUAACUCUCUGUUCGACCUGCUACCGUCAGGCAGACGGUACAGGUCACACAAAACCAGGACAAAUAGACUCAGAGAAAGCUUCUUCCCAAAAGCUAUUUCAGUAGUGAACAAAAACAACAAAACCAGAUAAAACAGUCCACAAAAUUCAUUAUUACUGACCACAUUGAUCACAGUGCAAUAAAGAAAUAACUAUGUGCAAUAACAAAUCAUUCAAGUUUACAUUAAGUGCCACUUUCUGUCAUUACGCUCUUUUACUGCUGCUACUUGUGUAUAUAUUAUUAGUUCCUAUUUGUUGUUUUCUGCAUGCUUGAUUGUUUUUGAUAUAUUCUUUUUUACAUUGUUUGCACCAAGGGAGUAGCGCUCAAAUCUCGUUGUAUAUUGUACAAGGACAAUAAAGGCUAUUCUAUUCUAUGUAUGUGUGUGACAAUGUGUACGAGUAGCACCCUCAAUCCAGUCUCUAGUUAAUGUGUCUGUAUUUUGACCAAUUGGAUGUCAAGCGAUGAUAAGAUGUCAUGCUGAUGCUGAUGUAGAAUGAACCGAAGCUUGCAUCCCACUACUUCUGUGGUUCUUUCUGCUCCAGACUCUACGCCCUGAGAAGUGAAUAAUCUAGUAAGAUACCUUUCUCUUCCUCAAUGUGCUACUUGGUGAGAGCUGGAUGCAGAAUUGACUUCACAGUGAAAGAACCAAAUUUAAAGAGUGGGGGAAUGGAAGUAUACAGAAGUGCCCACAAACAGAACAAUGUUGAGAAGUGCUUGUGUUUUUAGUGAAACUGCAGUCUCUUAAUGCCAGAGAGUCAGUUAUUCUGUGAAUAAAUGACGCCAAGAGUGUGGCUAGAUGGAUAAUGGACGAUCUGGGCUUGUGGCCUCCAGACCAAAAAAAUGUAUGUUUAAGACAUCCAUACCAACAAGAUAGUCGUGGCGUAUUAUGUAUAUAUGAAAAUAUUUUAGAAUCUGGUGCAGACAACUGUGGCAAGUAGUAGAAAAAACUAACAUACAGUCAUUGUGAAACCAUUUU